CGGCCGUCUGGGCCUCCCUGGGCCGGAUUCUGGAGUCAUCGAUUCGCUCGGCGAUCGCUGCCGCCUGCUCCGCAGCAGCCCCGCCCCCCCUUUUCCUCCCUCCCUUCCUCCCUCUCGGCCUCCUCCUCCAGCCUGCCCUGCGGAGGAGCGGGGAGCGGGGAGCGCCGAGCGCCUGGAUGCUCGCUGGUCCGGGCGGGCAGCGGAGGAGGCGAGCGGCUGACGCUGGGUCCGCGCCCGCGGCCAUUUCCCCCUCCCCCUCCUCCCCUUCCUCCUUCCUUCCUCCUUCCUCCCCUUCCCUUCCCCCCGCCCAGCUCAGCCCGGUCCGGCCCGGCCCGGCCUGGCCUGGUUCCGAGAGGCCACCGGAAGCAUUCCGGCGGACGCCCAGGUGGUAUAUAUCUGCCUCUUAAAGUUGGGAACAGGAAAACAACUUUUUGAGUAAUAAAGAUGCCUCCUAAAUUCAAGCGCCACCUAAAUGAUGAUGAUGUCACUGGUUCCGUGAAAAGUGAAAGGAGAAAUCUUUUGGAAGAAGAUUCAGAUGAAGAAGAAGACUUUUUCCUAAGGGGCCCAUCUGGACCAAAAUUUGGACCUCGGAAUGACAAAAUUAGGCAUGUACAGAAUCAGGUGGAUGAAGUAAUUGAUGUCAUGCAAGAGAAUAUUACAAAAGUGAUUGAAAGAGGAGAAAGACUGGAUGACCUACAAGACAAAUCAGAAAGCUUAUCAGAUAACGCAACAGCUUUUAGCAAGAGAUCUAAACAGCUUCGAAGACAAAUGUGGUGGCGUGGAUGCAAAAUACAAUACUACUAUUGUUGCAUUUAGGCAUUCCCUGGCAGAGUUGUAUAUUCCAAGAAGAAAACACUAUUCAUUGAAGUGUUUUAAAAGUUAUAUGAAGGCCAUCAUGGCUUUGGUUGCUGUUAUCCUCCUGCUGGUGAUUAUCAUUCCUAUUGUCCUGAAAUAUCGGACUUGAUUCAGUGACCAGAGAUCUCCAAUAAAACAGUUCUGGGACAAUUAAAAAAAAAAGAUUGCUGCAUAAUUUAAUGAAAUAUGUAUAUGACUUUCAAAAGUGUUUUUUCUCAAGAAGUAAAAAGAGGCAAGUGUCCAGUUCAAAUUGGAGCAUUGACAAGUUUCCAAUUAGCCUCCUCCCCUUCACCAAAAUAUGCUUUCAUUAAUUUAUUUUUAAAACAGAAACAUCUAGUUUGCCGUGUUUUAGGAGCCUAAUUUGCAACUAGAUACUUGCCAAUACAUUAUUUGUAUAUAGAGUUAAACAUUGAUGAUGAUAUUUAUAAUUUAACACAAUUUCCUACUGUAAACUAGAGAGGUGGGGAUUUAUUGCAUCAAGUUCAGGGAUAGGGUGGGAGGUAAGAGAUGAAACAUUAUGUAAAAAGGGAUGGUAACCAUAUAGUUAAUGAUUACAAAAUGUAUCAUUUUUCUCAUGUAAAAAAAAUUAGGUUUUGGAAAUGGUUUCCAUAUAUUUAUGGAUAAACUAAUGUUUUCAAUACUGCUACUUUCAACUGUGACUAAAGACAUUCCAGUAAACCUAUUUUGCCUGUAUGUAGAAUUUGUGACAACUUUUUUUUUUUUUUUUUACUUUAGGGCGAUAGUAAUGUAUUAUGAUCAAUCUUAAAGCACAGUCUGGCACAAUUGAGGCAGGAAAUGAGAUUGAAGGAAAGGAGAUCAUCAGUGGAGUAUUUGGGAAUAAUGACUCCUACAUAUUGGCACACUGAAAUCAAAAACAGUCAACUUCCAUUUCCCCCCAAGAAUAAUUGGAGAGAAAAUAAGAGAUGAUGAGUAAAGGAAAUCCAUAGACACACAAUUUAUUUAUCCUCAACAAAACCUCUUUCCAGAGCUUCUAACAUAACAAAAAUCAGUUGCUUUGACUUUACCCACCUUUCCUCCUUACCAUCUUGUCCUCUGGUAGAAAUGCUAAUUUGCCAUGAGAUGGCCAAAAAGUAAGCAGUAGGCCGUAGGAGAAGCCCCCAGGAGCCUGAGUAAUCCACAGAUGGGAUCAUCUGUACCUCAAAGAUCACAUUCUGGCUAAUGUUGAAAGUUUAACAUUUUUCUUGACCUAGUUUCACUUAAUAAAUAAUUAAAGACAGGUUAUGAGAUUCUUUUUUUAAAGCUUAAUCUAAGUUGUGCCAACAUAGUUGUGUUCUUCACGCAAGCCAAAAAGAAAAUACAAAAUCCAUUUAAAAGCUCGGCAAAGUCCCACAAUGAUAACUGAAUGAUUUUAUUUCAACUUUGUUCAUGCAUCCUUGUGUCUAGAAGGCUCUUCUUCACAAAUUUUAAACAUAAAAUAAGUUACAAAAUGGAAAAUGACAAUAUUUCAUAGAAAAAAAUGAUUCUUUAGGUUACUUUUUAAAGAAAUUCUGUUGCUACAAAACAUGAAAUACAAAAUUCAUUUUAUUUGAUUAUAUAGGGUCAGUACUAAGAAGAAGAGCUGUUCUCUUUAGAAUGGGGAGAAAUAUGAAGAGAGAAAGUAGACUAAGGUAGACUAAGGCACAUUCAGGACACCUGCAAGUGAUGAAAAUAUUCAAUAUGAUUGCUGUAUUUUAUAAUUUGUUAAUUGCUUUUUAAAGAACCAUUUCUACUUCCAGAGAUAAAUGUCUUACGUACUACAGAAUAUUCUCUGGCUUCCUUAUCUUUUGGAGAUAUCCGCUGGUAGAAACUGGGACUCGGAUUUUGAUGACAAAAAAAAUAAUUUUGCUUUUAGACUUAAAAGCAAGAAAUUAAAUAUUUUUACUGAAGUAGCUAAUGACUGCAAAAGAUAACAGCAAUGCUUAUUUAGGUCAAUUUGGGCUCAUUGUAAGGAAAAACUUCUUGAUAGGGGUAUGCAAAAGUGGAAUGGGAUAUUUUAGGAGAUGGUGAAUUCCUUUCAUUAGAAAUCUUAAGCAGAGGCUCAGUAGUUAAUUUGGAAAUGUAAAGGGGAUUUCUGUUUCAGAUGGGUGAUUCUGGAGGCCCCUCCAACACUAUGAUAAUAACUAAGUGGGCAAAAUAACGAUUUGUGUUCAUCAUUCAGUGGAUUUGCAAAUACUGACUGUAGAAAAAGCUAACAGAUGAUACAUCUUAGAACUAAAAUAAUCAGCAUUGGAUUUUUUCAGCAAAUUGUGUGGAGAUUUGGUCUGUCUAUUACUUACAUUAGUAAAGGCAAAGAGUACCUUGGGUUAUAUCUAGGACUUGCAUUUCCAGUGUUAACUUAGUGGAAAGAAUGUUACUACUUUUAAAAAAUUGCUGUUGAAAAAAAAAAUAAAGGAAAUAUUUAUGAGUUUAAAAAUGUAGUUAUAUUUUGCACUUUCAAAUACUGCAGGGCUGGUGCCAGGCAUCUCACUAUCUGCUAAACUUUACAAGGGUGCUAAUUUGCAUCUUAUCCUUCAUACUCCCCUGCUCAUGAUUGCUCAUUGUGUUUUUUAAAUGGCACAUUUUGUGAUGUUUGUGGUUCUAAUUUUAUAGUCAUAUCCCAUCUUAACAUGAAGAAAGAAAGGAAGAAAAAUGUGGUUCUGAUUAGUUGCUUCCCCACCCCUUCCUUGGCUACUCCUCUUCUCAUUCAGCAGCUCAGCUGGCCCUGCACAUGACAGUGGAGGUUCAUUUAGUGGGGGUCAGUAACAAAUGCUCAAUUAGUAAUGGUCCCUGAAGUCAGGAGCUUCUCCAAAUGACCAUGUGGUCUGCUGGAUGACCUUAGUGAUUUAUACUAUAGUUACAUAAAGCACAACAACCUGCAGGAACAUUAUGCUCAUAACAGAUUAAUUAACAUGUUCUUAAUUUUAACAGUAUGCCCAGGCUAUAUGAUGACCCUUUUCUCCAUUGAACCUAUCUAACUGAAUAGUAUUCUUUUUGUAAAUAGGAUUUUGUUUUGUUUUUAACUUUAAGUACCAAGAUGUUAAAUUAAAAGUUGUAAUUUAUCUGAUAGGGGAAAAGGUAAUAUAGACACCUAAUGUUUGUUUAAGUAGUUAAUUUUAGUGCCACUAAACAUUACUGAUUAUUACCCUG